GAUGAACGCUAGCGGGAGGCCUAACACAUGCAAGCCGAGCGGUAUUGUUUCUUCGGAAAUGCGAGAGCGGCGUACGGGUGCGUAACACGUGUGCAACCUGCCUUUAUCUGGGGGAUAGCCUUUCGAAAGGAAGAUUAAUACUCCAUAAUAUAUUGAACGGCAUCGUUUAAUAUUGAAAGCUCCGGCGGAUAGAGAUGGGCACGCGCAAGAUUAGCUAGUUGGUGAGGUAACGGCUCACCAAGGCGAUGAUCUUUAGGGGGCCUGAGAGGGUGAUCCCCCACACUGGUACUGAGACACGGACCAGACUCCUACGGGAGGCAGCAGUGAGGUAUAUUGGUCAAUGGGUGCAAGCCUGAACCAGCCAUCCCGCGUGAAGGACGACUGCCCUAUGGGUUGUAAACUUCUUUUGUAUAGGGAUAAACCUACCCUCGAGAGGGUAGCUGAAGGUACUAUACGAAUAAGCACCGGCUAACUCCGUG
rnacentral:rRNA from 1 species